GUUUCUUUUAUUAACCUGUCUGUUUGCUCAUUUGUUCACCUUAAGGGAAAUCAUCACGUGCAUCAAGCAAGUUCAAGUGGAGAAGUGAAGAAUGAAUGAAGAUGAAUGAAUCUUGAUAUCUGCUAAUACAAGUAUUCCUAGAAAGAGAUGAAAUAAUUCGCACUAAUUUCAUUAAUGCUGGCUUGGAGCAUUUGUUUGUGGAUGUUAUGGUGGCCGAUGCUUCCAGGCAAGUACUUCGACCAACGCCUAUCUUUGAUGCAAUCAUCACUGAUCCUCCUUAUGGAGUCCGUGAAGGUGUUCGCAGUCAAAUGUCUGAAAAAGAACUUACUGAGAAUAGG